AAUCAGGCCGAAGAAAUAUGGGAUGACGUUCAAAGUCCUCCAAUGAUGAUGGAGGCAAGCAAACGAGAGACAACGAGUCAAAGUCCUUCAAUGCCAGCGAGUAAGGCAAAGGCGAAAGUCAAAGUCUAAUGCCCUUCGAUGGAGGCAAGCAAAGUCAAAAAAAUCCCAUUGCCGAUAAUACCGGAUAUUCCAAAGGCAA
rnacentral:lncRNA from 1 species